AACGAACGCUGGCGGCAGGCUUAACACAUGCAAGUCGAACGCACCGCAAGGUGAGUGGCGCACGGGUGAGUAACGCGUGGGAAUGUACCCUUUAGUACGGAAUAGCUCCGGGAAACUGGAAUUAAUACCGUAUACGCCCUUCGGGGGAAAGAUUUAUCGCUAAAGGAUCAGCCCGCGUGAGAUUAGGUAGUUGGUGGGGUAAUGGCCUACCAAGCCUACGAUCUCUAGCUGGUCUGAGAGGAUGAUCAGCCACACUGGAACUGAGACACGGUCCAGACUCCUACGGGAGGCAGCAGUGGGGAAUAUUGGACAAUGGGGGAAACCCUGAUCCAGCCAUGCCGCGUGAAUGAUGAAGGCCUUAGGGUUGUAAAGUUCUUUUACCGAUGAAGAUAAUGACGGUAGUCGGAGAAAAAGCCCCGGCCAACUUCGUGCCAGCAGCCGCCGUAAAAC
rnacentral:rRNA from 1 species